GUGCUGAAUUAUUCGCCAAUGCGCGAAAGCGUGACGGUGCGACGCCGCGUGCGGGACGAAGGCCUUCGGGUUGUAAACCGCUGUCAAGGUAUAGAAAACCGUCGGAGUUAAUAGCUCCGGCGCUGAUCCUACCUAAAGGAAGCACAGGCUAACCUCGUGCCAGCAGCCGCGGUAAUACGAGGUGUGCGAGCGUUGUUCGGAAUCACUGGGCAUAAAGGGUGCGUAGGCGGUGCGCCAAGUCGGGUGUGAAAUCCCUUCGCUUAACGGAGGAACUGCAUUCGAUACUAGCGUGCUAGAGGGUAAAAGGGGCAAGCGGAAUUCUAGGUGUAGCGGUGGAAUGCGUAGAUAUCUGGGAGAACGCCGAGGGCGAAGGCAGCUUGCUGGGUUACUUCUGACGCUGAGGCACGAAAGCUAGGGGAGCAAACAGGAUUAGAAACCCCUGUAGUCC
rnacentral:rRNA from 1 species